rnacentral:tRNA from 10 species
GCCGAAGUGGUGGAAUUGGUAGACACGCUAGGUUCAGGGUCUAGUCGGGGUUCCCCGGUGGAGGUUCGAGUCCUCUCUUCGGCACCA